GGACUCUGUUAGGUGAUUCUAUGUAAGC
rnacentral:piRNA from 1 species